rnacentral:rRNA from 1 species
GAUGAACGCUGGCGGCGUGCCUAAUACAUGCAAGUCGAGCGAACAGAUGAGGAGCUUGCUCCUCUGACGUUAGCGGCGGACGGGUGAGUAACACGUGGAUAACCUACCUAUAGACUGGGAUAACUUCGGGAAACCGGAGCUAAUACCGGAUAAUAUAUUGAACCGCAUGGUUCAAUUGUGAAAGACGGUUUUGCUGUCACCUAUAGAUGGAUCCGCGCCGCAUUAGCUAGUUGGUAAGGUAACGGCUUACCAAGGCAACGAUGCGUAGCCGACCUGAGAGGGUGAUCGGCCACACUGGAACUGAGACACGGUCCAGACUCCUACGGGAGGCAGCAGUAGGGAAUCUUCCGCAAUGGGCGAAAGCCUGACGGAGCAACGCCGCGUGAGUGAUGAAGGUCUUCGGAUCGUAAAACUCUGUUAUUAGGGAAGAACAAAUGUGUAAGUAACUAUGCACGUCUUGACGGUACCUAAUCAGAAAGCCACGGCUAACUACGUG